rnacentral:rRNA from 1 species
AUCGAACGCUGGCGGCAGGCCUAACACAUGCAAGUCGAGCGAGCGGCGGACGGGUGAGUAAUGUCUGGGAAACUGCCUGAUGGAGGGGGAUAACUGCGGGAAACGGUAGCUAAUCCCGCAUACCAUCAGAUGUGCCCAGAGGGGAUUAGCUGGUGGGUCGGGAAACGGCUCACCUAGGCAACGAUCCCUAGCUGGUCUGAGAGGAUGACAAGCCACACUGGAACUGAGACACGGCCCAGACUCCUACGGGAGGCAGCAGUGGGGAAUAUUGGACAAUGGGCGCAAGCCUGAUGCAGCCAUGCCGCGUGUGUGAAGAAGGCCUUCGGGUUGUAAAGCACUGUCGGCGGGGAGGCGUUACCCACAGAAGAAGCACCGGCUAACUCCGUGCCAGCAGCCGCGGUAAUAC